AGGACGAACGCUGGCGGCGUGCUUAACACAUGCAAGUCGAGCGGUAAGGCCUUUCGGGGUACACGAGCGGCGAACGGGUGAGUAACACGUGGGUGAUCUGCCCUGCACUUCGGAAUAAGCCUGGGAAACUGGGUCUAAUACCGGAUAUGACCUCAGGUUGCAUGACUUGGGGUGGAAAGAUUUAUCGGUGCAGGAUGGGCCCGCGGCCUAUCAGCUUGUUGGUGGGGUAAUGGCCUACCAAGGCGACGACGGGUAGCCGACCUGAGACGGGGUCGUACCGGGCCAACGACGUCGGGACUUAGGAGACACGGCCCAGACUCCUACGGGAGGCAGCAGUGGGGAAUAUUGCACAAUGGGCGAAAGCCUGAUGCAGCGACGCGCGUGAGGAUGACGGCCUUCGGGUUGUAAACCUCUUUCAGCAGGACGAAGCGCAAGUGACGGUACCUGCACGAAGAACGCAACCGGCUAAACUACGUGCCGAGCAGCCGC
rnacentral:rRNA from 1 species